rnacentral:rRNA from 1 species
UACAGAGGUCUCGAGCGUUGUUCGGAUUCAUUGGGCGUAAAGGGUGCGUAGGUGGCGCUGUAAGUCGGGUGUGAAAUCCUGAGGCUUAACCUCGGAACUGCAUUCGAUACUGGCGUGCUUGAGGACUGGAGAGGAGACUGGAAUUCAUGGUGUAGCAGUGAAAUGCGUAGAGAUCAUGAGGAAGACCAGUGGCGAAGGCGGGUCUCUGGACAGUUCCUGACACUGAGACACGAAGGCCAGGGGAGCAAACGGG